CAGAGAAUGAGUUCAUUUCUCUUCAAACAUCCUCACAUUGCUGUAAAACAGCACUGACUGGGUGAUGAGAAAUGUCACCAGGAAUACGGGAGGAUGCCUUCAGCAGAGAGAGGGGAGCAGUUACGCUUCUGAAUUAGAUAUUAGCUUUGGAGAGGUUUCAUUUUUCUUUUGUUGCUUACAUUCUGGACAUCGUGAGUUUUUUUUUUUUAAGGACAGUCUUUUGUUUUUCACUCCUUCCUAGUAGAGCUUGGAUACUUGGAGAAAUAAAUAUAAAAGGAAGACUUCUCAAAGAUUUGUCCUGUGGAGGAAUGGAGUAUAGACUCUGGACCAAAGGGUUAUAGCUCAGAUCAGAGUCUUUGCUCUUAAGCAAAAAAGCCAAAUUUGAAAUUCAGGAUUACUUUAAAAUUAUCAUUGCAAUCUUCCUUUUGCCCUUGGCAAAUGGCUGACAGUCGCUGGAGAUCUGCUCAGGCAUUAUCUGGAACUCUCUGAGCAGGGAAAGUUGAGUAAAUCCACAUAACCCUGAGGAGUGAAGUUAGGAUCCACUGCUCAGAAGCACAGAAUCACAGAAUCACAGAUUGUCAGAGAUGCGUCAGCUCAGAGAACAUCUAAGUGUCACAUCUUCAUGCUAAAUACAAGAAAACUGAGGUCUGGAGAAACUGAGUUUUUUGCCUAAAAUGACAAAGCAAAUCAGUGGCAGAGCUGAAACCCAAAGCCAAGAUUACUAACUCCUAGUCCAGUUUGCUUCCCAAGAAAUCUUGGAUCUGCAGGCAUCUCUGGGCAUCAUCUGGACCACUCUGUGACCUCAAAUUGGGCUAAGGGUUUUCUAUUCUCUGAUUAGAUAACUUCAAAGACUAGGAUAUAAAACAUUUCCUUGAUGGGCAGUUUGUUUUAAAUAGCUUUCUUUAUUGGAAUAUAAAUGACCUAUGGAAACUGAACAUCUUUAAUUGCACUAUUUGAAGACAUUUGGAAUAUUCAAUUCUUUAUACAUUGAAACCCGUCAAUCUUUUCCUCAGUGAUUUGUUCUCCCACUGUGAGUUCAGAAAGUCUUUCUCUACUGGAGUUAAUUAAAGAUGUAUUUCAUCUUCAAAAAAAAUAAAUUGUACUAUUUGAUAAGCCUUGACAUAUGUAUAUACCGUGAAACUAUCACAACAAUGAAGAUAAUGACAUAUCCAUCAGCCCCAAAAGUUUCUUUGUUCCCUUUUUUAAUGAUGCUCUCUAUCCUACCUAUCACCACUCGACCACUGAUCUGUGUUCUGUCACUAUAAAUUAGUUGGCAUUUUACAGAAUAAAUGGAAUCAGACAUACUCAAUUUUUGUCUCCUUCCACUCAGCUUAAUUAUUUUGAGAUUCAUCCCUGUUGUUGCAUGUAUCAAUAGUUCAUUCCUUUUUAUUCCUGAGUAGUAGUCCAUUGUUUGGCUG
rnacentral:lncRNA from 1 species